ACGAGAACAUUAUGUACUAAAAUUAAUUGAUAGAAAGUGGAAUUGAUUUCCAACUCUAAACAUAAUACAAUUUUGUAAAAUUGUGAGGUGUAAGAGGAGAAAACAAGACUAUAUUAGAUAUAUUCACGUAUUAAAAAAAAAUGAUACA